CUAAAUCGAAACGAAACCCCAGUGCUUCACCGCGGGAUUCAGAAGAAAUACGUCAUAUUUUUUCAUUGUUGUCUGAAUAUUAUAUCAAGGUGACAGACUACUACCCUAUUAUUGAACUGGAAAUGCCUUUGGUUAAUGAAAGAGGGCUGGAAUGUGUUUCUUUGGAAUCAUCUAUAAGGCCCACUGAAAUGUCCCAGAACCCUUUCAGGUCAUACAAAACCAUUUUUUGGUUGCAAAUGUGGUUUUAUUUGCAAAUGUGGUUUUAUUUGGAAAGACAGUUUCCAGCUGACUGCAAUUUCUCUCCACUGAUUCAAAGACAGGGUAUCUGCAACUUUGCCCUUUACAACUUUAGAACUUUGACCUUCUCUUCUUCCUGAUUUCUGCCAGCUCACUUUGGACUCAAACACAGUAUUCAAAAACCUCUCAGUGAGGGCUGAACAAAGUGACUGCUGAACAGCAAGAACAGCUAAUCAACCAGAGAGAUUUGUUUUGGCCCGGCAGGUGCUGUGUGAGAGACUCUGUCUGGACUUUACUGGGAGGUUGAGUGGAGUGGGAAAGAUGUUCUUCCAUCAGUCUCAAGACAUCAGCAGGUCAAGUAAAGACUCUGGAUUGGGAAACAAUGACAAGUCCUCGAGUUUAGAGUGCAAUAAGCAGAGUUACUGGUUCAGACACAGCAAUAUAAAGACUGUAGUGUCUGGCCAUUAGUCCUCCAGAAUAGGGGUGUAUCUGGACCACAAGGCAGGAACUCUGUCCUACAUUUACAUUUUCAUUUGAGUCAUUUAGCAGAUGCUCUUAUCCAGAGCGACUUACAGUUAGUGCAUUCAUCAGUCCAAUCAAAGCUACGGUAGACAUAACAUGAUUUUACAUCAUUUUACCUGUGGCCAAUGACCUUGUGCUUUCUUGGAUGGGGACUUCUAAUGUAAAUCUAUGUCAACACCCAAUGGGGCUUAAACUGCCUAACUCUCCCUGUAGAUUCUGCGGUGACGUAGUGUCCCCAUGAGUGACCGAACACUGAGCCAAUCACGGCGCAACUAAAGAAGAUUACCAACACCUACACUCUCUGUAUUCCGCAGCUGCCCUUCCACCACAGAAAACACUGAGUUAGACUGAAACAUUUUGGAGCUGCCUUAAUCGAGAAAUGUUUCGUCAGUAGAACACGCCUGACUCUCCUGUAACAGUUAUACAAGGAGAAUGGUCUAAUGCCUCCCAUCAAAAAGAGAGCUGUCCCAAGUAAGCACAUGUUACACCUGAAGCAUGAGAACUUGCAGUGGGUGGUGAACUUCAACAACUACGCAGAGGAUAAUGCAAUAGUAUACCAGGACGCCACCCAGGACACAAACACUUUGGGGGAAAGCUGCUGCCAUCCCAUGUGACAAAAGCAGCAGUGUGGCCUCUCUACAAGGAAUCGAUGACAGCACUUGAGGUACGUGUCAUCGGGCUGUGUGUUAUCGUUUUAACUUCCAGUUUCCAAGAUGAUGUUUCUGUAUGCAGUGCUGCUACUCUGCACAUUUGUAGGUGCACUAUCCUUCUGACCCCAUGCAGCCAGGUCCCAUCUACUUUUAAACUCCUCGCAAGUGUGCCUUGUUUGGUGUCUGCUGUGAAGGAAUAUCACAACAAGUCAACUACUUGAUUGAUGAAGGCAUGUCAUCCAGCAAAGGCAGGAGCACAGUCACCAGCUACAUGCAUCAUUUCUUCAACUACGGAGUUUGGGAAACACGUGUGGACCUGAAUUGUGAUAACUGCAGUGGCCAAAAGAAGAACAAGUUUGUUCUCUGGUAUUGUGCCUGGCGGACUAUGCACAAGCUCCACCAGAGUCUGGACCUUCACUUUUUGAUCACAGGCCAAACCAAGUUUGCCCCCGACUGGUGCUUCGGCCUCAUCAAGCAGCGCUUCAGAAAGACCAGAGUAAACACCUUGUCUGAGAUUGCUGGUGUUGUGCAGGACAACAAGGGUCAACAUCCCACAGCUGGUUGGACUGGAGGAUGGUACUGUGCUGGUGGAAAGCUAUGGCUGGCAACAACACCUAACUUAUUUCAGGCUGCUGCCACAGUUCAGGCAGUUCCAGGACUUUAUUGUAUGAGUUUAUUAUUAUAAACUUGGGAGGUGAAUUGAUGUUGUGCAAGGUUAUAAUGUCUUGUCAAUUUUGGGGGUAUUUUCCUGUUUUACAGCUUCGAUCCUCUGGAGCCUGGUGUUGUUGUCGCAUAGGAACGUUUGGACUCAGUCGGGACCAGGUUUCAGCUGCUGCACAACGCUGACAUCCUUCCUCCCAUAGAUGGUCUGCCUGUACAAGCACCACCUGGACUGGACACAGCUAGACAAACUUAUGUUUUU